rnacentral:tRNA from 1 species
GGUGGUAUAGCCAAGUGGUAAGGCAGGGGAUUGCAAAUCCCCGAUUCCCCAGUUCGAAUCUGGGUGCCACCU